ACGUAGGGUGCGAGCGUUAAUCGGAAUUACUGGGCGUAAAGGGCGCGUAGGCGGCCUGUUAAGUCGAACGUGAAAUCCCCGGGCUCAACCCGGGAACUGCGUCCGAUACUGGCAGGCUUGAAUCCGGGAGAGGGAUGCGGAAUUCCAGGUGUAGCGGUGAAAUGCGUAGAUAUCUGGAGGAACGCCAGCGGCGAAAGCGGCUCUCUGGCCUGUUACUGACGCUGAGGCGCGAAAGCUAGGGGAGCAAACGGGA
rnacentral:rRNA from 1 species